UGAAUAUCUGUCUGAUCUGAGGAUCGAAAAGUGUGGUCGCCCAUUCCGACUUUGUCCGUGGAAGAAGGCGGAAGCGGUUAGUGAUUUUGUACCGCGUGUUACCCGUGUUGAAGUGAGAUUAGAAAACUAGUAGUGCGAAUUAAUUGAUACGCUGAAGAAGUUAGAUACUCUCCAGUGCACCAGCAAACCUAAUUGGAGAAAAAGCCGCUUACUGACCCCACGUGCGAGGUCUGGAAGUUACCAUCAUACUCGUCAAUUCUGGUGGCCGCGCGGUGCGCUUACGCAAGACGGCACUCGCGCCAAAAGGGGAAACAGCACACAGUACGCAGCACGGAGCCAUCACUCGUCCGUGUGCGUACUCGAGAUUCAUUGUCCCGUUCAACGUCUGCAGCGAACGACGGUAAAGCAGAACCACGUAAAACCUAGGUCGUGAGUACAAAUCUAUUUAUUUCCGUAACUAAUACAUGCGCAUGUAGGGAAUAAAUAGAGACAGAAGAACCACACAACUAAUAAAUGCCACACAACAAUGCCACACUAGAUUUUGUACAGUGUUCUUACCGACAGUGAGCGCAAGCCCGUCGGCAGAAAGAAAAGCCUGAAUGAGAUGAGGCGAUAGAGUAGUUAGGAAACGUGCCGUUCAGAGAAUCGAUGGGUCAGAGGAUCGAAACCCAAAUUACCCAAUAAAAUGUUUAUAUAGAUGUUUAAGGAAAAUAAUGUUCGUAAUUUAUGCUGUCUCGAAUAUAUCUAAAAUAAAU